rnacentral:rRNA from 1 species
UACAGAGGUCCCAAGCGUUGUUCGGAUUCAUUGGGCGUAAAGGGUGCGUAGGCGGCGCGGUAAGUCGGGUGUGAAAUCUCGGAGCUUAACUCCGAAACUGCAUUCGAUACUGCCGUGCUUGAGGACUGGAGAGGAGACUGGAAUUUACGGUGUAGCGGUGAAAUGCGUAGAUAUCUGGAGGAAUACCGGUGGCGAAGGCGGCAUCCUGGACCAUUACUGACGCUGAGGCGCGAAAGCUAGGGGAGCAAACGGG